UUUUUUUUAUUAUUCUUUGUUACAAAGGCUUAAUACCCUGAGUUACAGUGUGCCAGACUGCAAAGUCAACACAACAAUUUUGUGGACGGUUAAAAUUUCUCCACAAUCUGCUUUUGAAGAAAUAUCGCAGUAUCGCGCUACAGCGCACAUUCUAUCAGUUGCAGCCUCCGUCACAUUUGAUGAACUUUACACAGUUAUUGAACUGAACUGAAAUGACUUGAGAUGAAUAAUAACAUUAUUGUCCUGUACAGCAGAAUUUAAGUUUGCCUCAUAUUUGAAGUUUGUAUAUUUGAUUGUUAUUUUCCUACUGAAACUACUUUGAAAUGAUCUCUACUGUAUAAAGCGCUAGAAAAAGGUAACUUGACGAUAUAAUUCAAACUUAAAGACAUUUUGCACCGAUAUUAGAUGAAUAGUUCACCCAAAAAUGAAAACUAACUGUUAAUUUACACACCCUGGGGCCAGUGUAGGUGACUUACUUUCUUCAGCAGAACUUUAAAGAUGAUUUUUUGCUGAAUCCAUACUUGGCGACUCCUGAAGAUAUACUGAGAUCCUAUGAAGUGAAACAAUCAGCCUGUGCAAGAAAAUAUUUACAGCAUUAUUACCUAUAAUCCAUAGCCUCAAGCAAACAGUCCUGGAGUACAAGCUUUCUGUUGCAUGCUGAUGUACAGUAUGUGCAGCAAAUCACACAUGAACUCUGACACCAUUCUAAAGACCUCAUCAAGAGCCACAGGCAUUCAUUUUAUUUUUCCUGUUACUGCUAUUUUAACUCUCAAAGUGACGGAACCCAUUGACUUGCAUUUUAUGAUUCACCAAGGACCAUGGAUUCAGCUAAAAAUAUUUUUUAAUGUUUUGCUGUAGAAAGAAAGUAAUUUACAUCUUGGAUGUCCCGAGGGGGCAAACUGAACCAUUCCAGCCAAACCUUGACCCCACAGAUUCUCUCACCAGUGAGUGCAGAACGAGCAAGGAGAUUGAAAACCUUGAGUCGAUCUUGACAGCUGUGAGACGAUGGUGUCUGCUGGGACUCGAUGACCUGCAUGUAACUGUAGAGACGCUUGACUGACUGCAACCAUGACGCACAGAUUCCAUUUCCUGUUUGAGGGUGAUGGCGAGUGGGGCAGCUGAUAUCUUUAGCUCUGAAAUGAGAGGAUGGACACAAAUGCGUGGGGGCUGAUGGAUGAUUCCUGUUUGGUGUUGCUCCUGUGAAUGUCAGCAAACCUGCGCACACACAAAGAGAAAACCAUCGGCGGGGACAUUAGGGAAAUGCAUUUUGUGGAUGAUCAAAGGCAU
ensembl:lncRNA